CAUUGGAAACGGUGGCUAAUACCGGAUGUGCCGAGAGGUGAAAGGCUUGCUGCCUGAAAAUGAGCUCGCGUCUGAUUAGCUAGUUGGUGUGGUAAGAGCGCACCAAGGCGACGAUCAGUAGCUGGUCUGAGAGGAUGACCAGCCACACUGGGACUGAGACACGGCCCAGACUCCUACGGGAGGCAGCAGUGGGGAAUUUUCCGCAAUGGGCGAAAGCCUGACGGAGCAAUACCGCGUGAGGGAGGAAGGCUCUUGGGUCGUAAACCUCUUUUCUCAAGGAAUAAGAAAGUGAAGGUACUUGAGGAAUAAGCAUCGGCUAACUCCGUGCCAGCAGCCGCGGUAAUACGGAGGAUGCAAGCGUUAUCCGGAAUGAUUGGGCGUAAAGCGUCCGCAGGUGGCACUGUAAGUCUGCUGUUAAAGAGCAAGGCUUAACCUUGUAAAAGCAGUGGAAACUACAGAGCUAGAGUACGUUCGGGGCAGAGGGAAUUCCUGGUGUAGCGGUGAAAUGCGUAGAGAUCAGGAAGAACACCGGUGGCGAAAGCGCUCUGCUAGGCCGUAACUGACACUGAGG
rnacentral:rRNA from 1 species